AACACAUGGUGAGGGAACCUUCUCAAUAAAUCCUUAUACCUCUCUCAUGCAUCAUAUAUGGUUUCUAAGUUGAUUUGAACGAAGGAAAAUAUAUUAUUCCUCAACUU
rnacentral:snoRNA from 1 species